rnacentral:rRNA from 1 species
AGGGUGUAAACGCUGCGGGCUUGGUGUUGGGGGUCCUUUGAGGGCGCCCAGUGCCGGAGAGAAGUUGUUAAGCCUGCUGCUUGGGGAGUACGUCCGCAAGGAUGAAACUUAAAGGAAUUGGCGGGGGAGCACCGCAACGGGAGGAGCGUGCGGUUCGAUUGGAUUCAACGCCGGAAAUCUUACCGGGACCGACAGCAACAUGACGGCCAAGCUGAAGACUUUGCCGGAUUAGCUGAGAGGAGGUGCAUGGCGUAGUCGUGU